UAUAAACAGGGUGAUGAUAUAGUCCAAAAUGAUUGACAAUUAUUGUGUUGUCAUAUCGGCCAGCAGUAGCGGUGAAACAGAGCCCCCGAGCGUUAUCCGGAUUUACUGGGCGUAAAGCGUCCGUAGCCGGUCUGGAAAGUCUCGGGUUAAAUACCAAGGACUCAAUCUUUGGGAUGCCCGAGAAACUGAUAGACUAGAGGGUGUUAGAGGCUGAUGGAACUCUUAGUGGAGGGGUGAAAUCCGCUGAUAUUAAGAGGAACACCAAAGGCGAAGGCAUUCAGCUAGAGCAACCCUGACGGUGAGGGACGAAAGCGUGGGUAGGGAAAAGGAUUAGAUACCCUUGUACUCCACGCCCUAAACUUUGGAUGCUAGCUAUGUGAAGUGUCGACCCUUCACGUGGCGUAGGUAACCCGUUAAGCAUCCCGCCUGGGAAGUACGGUCGCAAGACUAAAACUCAAAGGAAUAGGCGGGGACCCACACAAGCGGUGGAACAUGUGGCUCAAUUCGUCAACAACCGAGGAACCUUACCAGGGUUUGAAACUCAGUCGAAGAGCACCAGAAACGGUGCUCGUCUCACAAGGACGGCUGAGCAGGUGCUGCACGGCUGUGAAAACGGCCAUUGUCGUCGCAAGGCGACAACAAAAAAACCAGCUCAAAACGGUGAAGCCCAAACUCUUUCGUGGUAACAUGAAGGAAUGGGUAAUACCGUGGGAAGUACGAGUGCUAAUCUAUGUAACUUCUUUGAAGACCAGAAAGAUGCAUAUAUCUUAGGUCUUUGGUGCGCAGAUUCUUACUGGUGGUCAAGUUCAAUCGGAUUGAGCAAUACCAAUAGGGAAUUGAUCGAAAAGUUUCGUUCAUUUCUCAUUGGAAAGGGGUUCCCAGAAGAUCGAAUUCGAUACAAUCGAGAUCAUCUCUUUGUGAAUAGUCGUCCAUUGCUUCGAGAGUUUGUUGCCGGCAAGAAGAUGCUCGAGAAAAUGGAUAAGGAAAAAACUAUCUGGCCAUAUCUGGCAGGAAGAUUUGAUGGAGAUGGAUGUAUUGAUGGAGAUUUACGAAAGGAUUGCCGUAUUGUGUAUACGACGGCAGAAGAAGCAAACUUUGAUAGGAAGUUGCUUAAGAAACUUGGGAUUAGGCAGACAACAAUAUACUACUAUCGAACCUCUUCGACAUUUGUUCUGUAUUUUUCCAGGUUCAUAGCGAGAGAGUUUGUUAGAAAGAUCAUUCCGUAUUCGUUGAAGUUACAAAGAUUAGCACUCGUAUCCCGUAGAGACUUAGUUUCUUUACAAAGGCAAGAAACUUAAUGGUAGUUUAACCUAUCAUUAAAGGCUGGCCCCGCCUUAGGCGGGUGAUGGUAUAGUCCGUACUAUAGGUAACUAUAGAGUAAUAUGGUCGUCAGCACGUACCUUGAGGCGUUCGCUUCAAUGCGGUAACGUGCGCAACCCCUAUCCUGUGUUUUAUUUGUCACAGGAAACUGCAAGCGACAAGCUUGAGGAAGGUGGGGAUGACGCCAAGUCAGCGUGGCCCUUUGAUAUCCUGGGCGGCACACAUGUUACAAUGGAGUGGACAAUGGGUUGCAAAUCCGUAAGGAAGAGCUAAUCCCCAAACCACUUCUCAGUUCGGAUUGAGGUCUGAAACUCGACCUCAUGAAGCCGGAAUCGCUAGUAAUCGCCAAUCAGCCAUGUGGCGAUGAAUAUGUUCCUGGGUCCUGCACUCACCGCCCGUCAACUCAAGCGAGCCGGGGAUGCCCGAAGUGCCCCGCAAGGGGAGCCAAGGUAGACUCGGUGAGAGGGGGUAAGUCGUAACAAGGCACGCGUAGCGGAAGCUGUGCGUGGAUCACAACAUUU
rnacentral:ncRNA from 1 species